AUUUUCAAAAGAAACAAGUUAAACUAUAUAAUUGGGCCAAAAUAUAGGUGCAGGGAACUCACUUUAACCCAAAAGGUUUAGCCUAAUAAAAAUGGUCUUAUCAUGAGAUCAUCGUGUAGCUGCAUGGCUCUCCACCUCUCUAGUAUACCACUCCUUUUAUGUUAUAUCAAUCAAUUUGCCACUUAAUUUUUAUGAACUUAUAGUAGUUGUUAGAAUAUAAAUUUUUGAGUAAAACAAAAUCCUAAAACACUAAAUUUAAUUUUGAUUUUAAAACGCUAAAAGUUAUAAUGUUCUGAAAAUUGUCAUAUGUAUUACUAAGCGCUGCUUAAACUGUUAUUUUGCUAAAAUUUUGUAUUUAUGUUCAUAUAUGUAAUAUCAUUCACCCUCCAUCUUAUAUCAAUCAAUUUGUCACAUACAUUCAUUCACCCUCAAAUGCUCUCCACACUUAUUUUCUACCUCAUUAUUACAACUCUUGCAAAUUCCAUUACAAUCCCAUUUGAACAAGACCACAUUCUCAUCAACUUUGGCCUACCAAAAAAUUCUCCACAACUUAUCGAUAACCCCGGUGGUACAUGGCAGAGCGAUCAAGACUUCAUCCUCACUUCGCUAUCUGCCACCAGUAACUCCAUUGCUUUUGCAGUGGAGGCUACAACUCCCUAUAAUAUGGCCCGAAUAUUUCGGACCACGACAACAUAUUCCAUACCUGUUACUACGUGGGGGCCCAAACUAAUCCGCCUCUACUUUCCACCCCUAUCCAUAUCCUACGACAUCAUAGACACCAAAUCAUCUUUUCUUUCGCUUACAAUUAAUGGGUUUAAUAUUUUGCGCAAAUUUAGCGCGUACGCUGUUAUGGCCCACGCUAAUGCGCACACCAACACCACCGCUGAUGUAGGAUCACCUACAUCUGGUUCUGAUGAACUAACACGGAUCAAUACCAUGAUUCAUCAUAUGGAAGAUGCUCAAAUUCAAGGUUCAAAUGUUAAGUCUUUUAAUUUUGUAAUCAUGAACUAAAUCUUCUUCUUUAAUUUUUAUUUUGUAUUUUCAUUUUUAUAAUGAAACAAAGUCUUAGAGAUGAUUAAGCCAGGUUUAGGAUCAAGCUUAAUCAUGUCUCAUGUUUAGUUAGUCGAGUUGUAAUUUUUAUUUUAUUGAGUCUAAUAUUUAUUUUGCUCAUGGGACGUUUUUUACAAAAUUAAAAUGCAUGGAUCAAAACAACCAAUCAAAUUCUCCAAAUUGAGCCGUUGCAUUCUUCAAAACUAGCUGAUUUACCACAGCCAUAUGUUUUGAAGAUUGAGUGGGAUUUUUAUGAUAAUAUCUCUUACAAAUCAGCCACAAAUAAUCCCAAGAAGAUAGAAGAGCUGAUUUGCAAAUCCCAAAGAAAAAUUAGCUGUUAGAGACAACAAAACUAGCUGUUAGAGACAACAAAAAAAAAUCAGCAAAAAUCUCCUUGUUCUUUUACUAGCUGUUGCAUUUUAUUGCCAUUUUGGUUGUACUUUCAUUUUCAAAGUUUGUACUCAUUGCUGAAUGCUUUAGUAUAAAUAGGAUGUAUGCACUCUUGUAAUUCACAACCUGAUUUUUACAUUCUGAAUACAAAACAACCCUUGAGCAAAUCCCUUUGUUCUCUCUUUGCAAUUUACUUUAACUUGGAUUGGUUUUAGUAAGUUGAAGUUCCUAUGCUUUUCAUUCUUUUGGCUUAAAGUUUGAAUGUGUUCUUAGGAGCCCUUGGUUUUAAUUUGUGGUGAAUCUGUAUCAAAUUAAUCCUUGGAUCAGCCAUUUUCAAGUUGUUCAAUUCAACAUAUCUUUUCUUAGUUCUUCUUAUUACAAAACCCACAAAAAUCACAAAAAAAAAACAUUUUACAAUAUCACCUACACUUCAGCCUUAAUUGCUGAAAUUUCGAAACCUCAAAACAUACGUGUGCAUAUAGUUUGGUCCUUGUUCAAAACAUAGCCAACCUAUAUCAUCUUGGUAUCAGAGCCAAGGCUACGCUCCUAGCCUUAAUUUCGUUCAUUCACAAAGCAAAACACCAUGUCUCAAAGUGGUGAAGGAGAAACAAGUGAUUUGAGCAGAAUUGUUGAAGAGCAAAAUGCCACCAUUAAUUACUUACGAGCCCAACUUAAAGAGUUUUUAGACCUAAAACGCACCUUAAGGGAAGGUGGGUAUUAUGAAUCUGAAAGUCCUAAAGUUAAUAGGCAAACAAGCCGUGGAGAUGAUCUUAAAGUCGACAUUCCAGAAUUUGAAGGAAGAUUAGAUGGAGAUGAGUUCCUUGAAUGGGUAAGAACUGUUGAAAGAGUAUUUGAUUACAAGAAUAUAGAUGAAGAAAAGAAGGUAAAGAUAGUAGCCUUAAAAUUGCGCAAAUAUGCUUCUACUUGGUGGGCUAACAAAUGUGCAAAACGAGAAAGAGAAGGGAAAGACAAGAUUAGAUCAUGGGAAAAGAUGAAGAAGCAAAUGAAGGAAAAGUUUCUGCCUUCAUACUACAUGCAAGAGAAUUUCACCAAACUUCAACAUCUACAACAAGAUGGCAGGAGUGUAGAAGAGUAUGGUCGAGAGUUCGAGACAAUGAUCAUGAGAUGCGACCUGAAGGAGGAUGAUCAUCAAACUUUGGUAAGAUUUUUAAAUGGUUUAGAUUCAAAAAUCAGAAACAUUGUUGAAUUACAACCUUAUGCUUGCCUUGAUGAUUUAAUUAACCUUGCACAUAAAGUGGAUAAACAACAAAGAACUAAAAUGAAGGAAACCUCACGUUUCACUUCAGCAAGAACUACCAAUUUCAAUUCCUACCAAGAGAACACUCCCCAUUCCUAUUCUAAAGCCCAUUCACAAGAUUCAACAGCUUUGCAAAACAAUAAUUCAAAGCAACCCCUAAGCAUGCCCAAUACACCCAAACCAAACACCAAUUCAUUCACACCUAGGAGAUGUUUUAAGUGUCAAGGCCUAGGACAUAUUUCUUCCGAAUGCCCAAACCGAAAAAUGGUGAACUUGGUUGAAUUUGAUGAUCAUCAAGAGGAAAACGAGGAGGAUUUCUGUGACGAUGCUGAACUUGAUGAGGAAAUAAUAUACCCGGAAGAAGGAGAAUUAUUGGUUAUGCGAAGAGCUCUUAGUGGGGUCAAAGCCAAAGAUCCAAACCCACAAAGGGAAGCAAUAUUCCACACAAAAUGUACAGUUAAAGGUAAGAUCUGUUCGCUUAUCAUUGAUGGAGGAAGUUGCACUAAUGUCGCUUCAAAGACUAUGGUGGACAAGCUUAAUCUCACCGCCACUCCACACCCCAAGCCAUACAUGAUUCAAUGGUUGAAUCAAAACAAAGGUAUUCCUGUAAACUCUCAAGUUUUGCUUUCAUUUUCCAUUGGUAAUAGCUAUAAGGAGAGUCUUUUAUGUGAUGUUAUACCUAUGGAUGCAUGUCAUGUUUUAUUAGGUAGGCCGUGGCAGUAUGAUAGGAAAGUUAUGCAUGAUGGUUUUAAAAACACACAUACUUUUGUUUUAAAUAACAAACAGAUAACUUUAGCACCAUAUGCACCUAACGCUAAUUCUAAAUUGCAAGCAACUUUAACUAAUUUUCAUUCUUUAAUUCCUAUACUUAAAAGUGAACAACAUGAACUUGAGGAACGAAAAGAAUUGUUAUUGCUAAAUGAUGAAACUGAAUCUGUUUUGCAUGAUCACCCUUUAAUUGAACCUGUGCUUGAUGAAUUUGCAUAUGUUUUUCCUAAUGAAAUACCAAAUGGACUUCCACCUAAAAGGGAUAUACAACAUAAAAUUGAUUUCAUUCCCGGUUCCUCAUUGCCUAACAAACCAGCCUAUAGGACUAAUCCUAAGGAAACCGAAGAAAUUAGGAGACAAGUUGAUGAUUUUUAGCUAAAGGUUUGAUUAGAGGAUCCAUAAGUCCUUGUGCCGUUCCUACUUUACUUGUGCCAAAAAAGAAUGGAGAAAUGAGGAUGUGUGUGGAUAGUAGAGCCAUCAAUAGAAUCACUAUCAAGUAUAGAUUUCCCAUACCUAGACUUAAUGAUUUGUUAGAUGACCUAUAUGGCUCUAAAGUUUUCUCUAAGAUUGACCUGAGGAGUGGAUAUCACCGAGUUAGAAUCCAUGAGGGGGAUGAGUGGAAAACCACAUUUAAGAGUAAGGAAGGACUCUAUGAAUGGUUAGUUAUGCCCGUUGGUUUAUCUAAUGCACCUUCUACCUUUAUGAGACUUGUGAACCAAACCUUGAAGCCUUUCUUAGGUCACUUUGUAGUGGUUUAUUUUGAUGAUAUGUUACCAAGCUUGAGGUCAAGCUUCUCCAAAGAAGGGGAGGAUGAUGUAGGAUCACCUACAUCUGGUUCUGAUGAACUAACACGGAUCAAUACCAUGAUUCAUCAUAUGGAAGAUGCUCAAAUUCAAGGUUCAAAUGUUAAGUCUUUUAAUUUUGUAAUCAUGAACUAAAUCUUCUUCUUUAAUUUUUAUUUUGUAUUUUCAUUUUUAUAAUGAAACAAAGUCUUAGAGAUGAUUAAGCCAGGUUUAGGAUCAAGCUUAAUCAUGUCUCAUGUUUAGUUAGUCGAGUUGUAAUUUUUAUUUUAUUGAGUCUAAUAUUUAUUUUGCUCAUGGGACGUUUUUUACAAAAUUAAAAUGCAUGGAUCAAAACAACCAAUCAAAUUCUCCAAAUUGAGCCGUUGCAUUCUUCAAAACUAGCUGAUUUACCACAGCCAUAUGUUUUGAAGAUUGAGUGGGAUUUUUAUGAUAAUAUCUCUUACAAAUCAGCCACAAAUAAUCCCAAGAAGAUAGAAGAGCUGAUUUGCAAAUCCCAAAGAAAAAUUAGCUGUUAGAGACAACAAAACUAGCUGUUAGAGACAACAAAAAAAAAUCAGCAAAAAUCUCCUUGUUCUUUUACUAGCUGUUGCAUUUUAUUGCCAUUUUGGUUGUACUUUCAUUUUCAAAGUUUGUACUCAUUGCUGAAUGCUUUAGUAUAAAUAGGAUGUAUGCACUCUUGUAAUUCACAACCUGAUUUUUACAUUCUGAAUACAAAACAACCCUUGAGCAAAUCCCUUUGUUCUCUCUUUGCAAUUUACUUUAACUUGGAUUGGUUUUAGUAAGUUGAAGUUCCUAUGCUUUUCAUUCUUUUGGCUUAAAGUUUGAAUGUGUUCUUAGGAGCCCUUGGUUUUAAUUUGUGGUGAAUCUGUAUCAAAUUAAUCCUUGGAUCAGCCAUUUUCAAGUUGUUCAAUUCAACAUAUCUUUUCUUAGUUCUUCUUAUUACAAAACCCACAAAAAUCACAAAAAAAAACAUUUUACAAUAUCACCUACACUUCAGCCUUAAUUGCUAAAAUUUCGAAACCUCAAAACAUACGUGUGCAUAUAGUUUGGUCCUUGUUCAAAACAUAGCCAACCUAUAUCAACCGCGCCGGUAACAGACGGUCUUGUAAGAGAGAUUUACAUCUCUUUAGACGAAGGAGAGGGGCAAAGGGCUAUAAACCUAACUUUCUCACCAAGUAACCCGGAUGGAUUUGGGUUUAUAAACGGGUUAGAGAUUAUAUCUGUGCCGGAUGGGUUGUAUGUUAACCGUUCGUCAUCCAAUAUGGUUCCAUAUCUUGAGGGUGGGUUUCAAAAUUAUUUGAAUAACCCGUUUAAUUUUUCGGAUUCAAUAGCUAUGGAAAAUAUUAUCCGGUUGAACGUUGGCGGGCCGACUGUGGAUCCGAGUGAGGAUUCCGGACUUCGCCGGACUUGGUUCGGCAUAGACGAUGACUACAUGAUUUAUGGUCUAAACUCCACAAUAUCCUACGACGAUACUACAAUCAAUUAUACGGUUGCAACACUAUCGUAUACGGCGCCAGAAUUAGUGUACUUGACAAUGAGGGAGAUGGGACCAUAUGUUGGAGAAUUGAAGAAAACCAAAAUUUGACAUGGUUGUUCGAGGUCGAUGUUGGAUUUAAUUAUCUUGUGAGGCUCCAUUUUUGCGAGUUAGAUUCCACAAUCAACAGCAAUGACCAAAGAAGUUUCGACGUUAGUAUCAA